rnacentral:rRNA from 1 species
CCUACGGGAGGCAGCAGUGGGGGAUAUUGCACAAUGGGGGAAACCCUGAUGCAGCGACGCCGCGUGAGUGAAGAAGUAUUUCGGUAUGUAAAGCUCUAUCAGCAGGGAAGAAGAUGACGGUACCUGAGAUAGAAGCCCCGGCAUACAAUGAGCCAGCAGCCGCGGUAAU